rnacentral:lncRNA from 1 species
ACCUGUUCUAGAUUGCAGGGAAGUUCUGAGAAUGGAAGUGAACAUUCCGCCUGUUCUAGAUUGCAGGGACGUUCUGAGAACGUUUUACUAUGGUUCCCAGAAUGUUGUCAUGGGAUGUUUUAUUAACCUAUAAUUUGCAUUCUCCGAAUGUUAUUUAAAGGUAAUUAAAUGACGUUCUGAGAAGAUAUUUCAAUCACACUGCUAGCUUAGUUUGGGUUACCUGUUGUGAUCUCCAAGCACAGAUAGGACAUAGGGGUAUUAAUCAUGAUGGCACCGCAUGAAUGUGACUCUAACCUAUGAUCUUCUCCUCUCUAUUCCCGGAAUUAGUCCAGUGCUCUGUUCAUUUUAGUCUAUUCAAACAGACUCCAUUUCAAAGUAAAUAAUCACUCAUUAAGAUCAGGUGUGGUCAGUUAGUGGGUGCGGCAAACGCACCUGAACACACUUAACAAGAUAGGAUAGAGUUUUGUUGAUGGGAGAUUCGGGAAGUGUGUUGAAUGAGGUCCAGCGGUCAGAGACGAAAGAAGCGCAGAGCUGAAGGUUUUCUGACACGAGUAGAAAAGAGGCCGGCUGGAGAGUUCAAAGAAAACAGGGAAGAACACCAAGUCUUACUACUCAAAGACAAAGGAAAAAGAAAACCGAAAGGAAUGGAGAAGGAAACUGAAAAAAAGAGGCACCGAUUCACCCCUGGAGAUGAGGAUCUUAUUAUUUCAGGGGUACUUGGGCACUGGGAGGACCUCUUCGGCGCCCAGGCCCACAUUCGCCCCCGGGGGUCAAAGACUGCAACCUGGAACACCAUCGCUGGGACCUUGACCUCGGCUGUGGCGAGAUGUGGUGACGAUGUCCGGAAGAAAUACAAUCUCAUAAGGAGCCAAAUCAAGCAAAAGGUUUCUUCUAUCCGGACAUGGUCCACCCAGACUGGUGGGGGGCCCAACACCGUGCCGGCGCUGACCGACCUGGAGCAGCAACUUUUCUCCCGAAUGGCAGAGACCGAAGCUGGUGUAGGGCCUGUUGAUUUGGGAUUUGGUCUCUCUCAGGGAGAAAUCUCCAGCUCUGGUCCCCCACCAGCAGCAGAGGGAACUGUGGAGGCAGCUUUACCCUCUGUCACCAUGGAGGAGCUACCCUCCACCUCACCAUCAACACCUUGGCCAGCACCAACAGUGCCACCCCAACCCAUCACCUCCCGUCCUGCACCAGCUCACUCAAUCCACUCUCAAUCAAUGAAUCAAAUUUAUUUUAUAAAGCCCUUUUUACAUCAGCAGUUGUCACAAAGUGCUUUACAGAUACCCAGCCUGAAACCCCAAAUAGCAAGCAAUGCAGAUGCACUCUCUGGCACCGCACCCCAACCCAUCACCUCCUGUCCUGCACCAGCUCAUUCCAUCCACUCUGGCUUUGCUCCCCAACCCAUCACCUCCUGUCCUGCACCAGCUCAUUCCAUCCACUCUGACUCUACCAAACCCCAACACAUCACGUCUGGCGGACCCACAAGGCCCCCCAAGCCAAUCUGGCUCCAACAAUCCUGAGACACAAACGCAACAAAUCCAGGUUACACAGACCGCCCAGCACAUCCACCAAGCUCUUAUGAUUUUUAGAAAAAGCACAUGAACACAGAAGGCACACCUGGAUGUGGAGAAGAACCGGCUCCAGCUGGAUAGAGAGCGCUUGAAGGUGGAGACAGAGCGCCUGCAGGUGAGAGGGAGCGCCUCAAAUGGAGAAGGAUCGCCUGGGGGAAGGGAGGGCCUUCGGCGGCAGCUCGCUGCUCGGGGUCAGUCGCCCUAGAACACCAGACGCCUGUGAGUUCAAGACUGUCAGUGCUCCCCCACCCUUCCCUGGGAACACACCAUCAGCCUCCAUGUCCAGUCCCCUCACUUAAUAUCACCUACUGCACCACACUUUGAUUUCUUAUUUUCCCAUCCCAUUACCGAAUCACAACCCAUUCCCCCAGCCAUCACAAACCAGCCCUGCCUCAACCUCCCCUGACUUAACCAGCCCUGCCCCAACCUCCCCUACCUUAAAAAUUCCU